AUUGAACGCUGGCGGCAGGCCUAACACAUGCAAGUCGAGCGAGCGGCGGACGGGUGAGUAAUGUCUGGGAAACUGCCUGAUGGAGGGGGAUAACUACUGGAAACGGUAGCUAAUACCGCAUACCAUCAGAUGUGCCCAGAGGGGAUUAGCUAGUAGGUGGGGUAACGGCUCAACUAGGCGACGAUCCCUAGCUGGUCUGAGAGGAUGACCAGGCACGCUGGAACUGAGACACGGUCCAGACACCUACGGGAGGCAGCAGUGAGGAAUGUUGCACAAGGGGCGGAAGACUGAUGCAGCCAUGCCGCGUGUGUGAAAAAGGCAUUCGGGUUGUAAAGCACUUACAGUGGGGCGGCGUUGCCCGCAGAAGAGACACCGGCUAACUCCGUGCAAGCAGCCGCGGUAAUUG
rnacentral:rRNA from 1 species